rnacentral:rRNA from 1 species
UACAGGGGGUGCAAACGUUGCUCGGAAUUAUUGGGCGUAAAGCGCGCGUAGGCGGCUACUUAAGUCGGAUGUGAAAGCCCUUGGCUCAACUGAGGAAGUGCACCCGAAACUGAGUGGCUAGAGUACGAAAGAUGGGUCGCGGAAUUCCCGGUGUAGAGGUGAAAUUCGUAGAUAUCGGGAGGAACACCAGUGGCGAAGGCGACUACCUGGCCUGUUCUUGACGCUGAGGCGCGAAAGCUAGGGGAGCAAAACGGG